GGGUCAGUAGGUUGGUCGUGCCACCGGUACGUACUGGUCUCACUGAUUCCUCCUUCCUGAAGAACCGUAAUGCCAUUAAUUUGGUGUUGCGGGGAAACAGGACUGUUACUUUGAAAAAAUUAGAGAGUUUAAAGCAAGCUAACGCUUGAAUACGUUAGCAUGGAAUAAUGAAAUAGGACGAUCGAUCCUAUUUUGUUGGUUUCUAGGAUUGACGUA
rnacentral:rRNA from 1 species